GGGAUUGAAAGGCUUCCAAGUUCGUUGUAGGGAAUAGUAGACGGAUAUUGCCCAUGAAGAGGCAUAGACCAUCCGCAUGUAUGGAUCCUCACAUUCAUCUGCCAGAUCUAGCAAGUGACCAUAUUCCAUUAUCUCUGCCAUUCUCUGAAGCAUUGACAUAGGUUCAAAAAUGAUCACCGGGAGGGUUACAAGAGAUGUAACAUCCGACCCUAUAUACUUGUGCAUCAUUUUCCAAUAACUUUCACGUUCCUCUUGCUUCCAUCUCCCUCUUUGUGC
rnacentral:misc_RNA from 1 species